AACGAACGCUGGCGGCAGGCCUAACACAUGCAAGUCGAGCGGACCUUUCGGGGUCAGCGGCGGACGGGUGAGUAACGCGUGGGAAUAUGCCCUUCUCUACGGAUUAGUCCUGGGAAACUGGGGGUAAUACCGUAUACGCCCUUUGGGGGAAAGAUUUAUCGGGGAAGGAUUAGCCCGCGUUGGAUUAGGUAGUUGGUGGGGUAAUGGCCUACCAAGCCGACGAUCCAUAGCUGGUUUGAGAGGAUGAUCAGCCACACUGGGACUGAGACACGGCCCAGACUCCUACGGGAAGCAGCAGUGGGGAAUCUUAGACAAUGGGGGCAACCCUGAUCUAGCCAUGCCGCGUGAGUGAUGAAGGCCUUAGGGUUGUAAAGCUCUUUCAGCUGGGAAGAUAAUGACGGUACCAGCAGAAGAAGCCCCGGCUAACUCCGUG
rnacentral:rRNA from 1 species